CUUUUGUUACAUUGUAUACAAAUACUUCUGCUUGUUAGAAAAGCCUUGCAUUCCGUUAUUAUCUAUUGUUCUUGUUUCUUUCUCUCUAGACUGACUCGGUAUAACCGUUGACAUAAUUUAUCUAAAUCUCUGCUUAGCUGUUGUCAAGGAAUCUUUUUGUUUGCUAUCACGCUUCAAAUUAUUCGCGCCGAUGCGGAACGGCAUGUGCUCGCUUUGUUUAUCUUUUGGUCGCUCUCGACGUAGAAGUUGCUCUUGGUCGAUUACGAUGCCGUAAAUUCAAAUAACAUGAGAUAACUGCCACCGUUAGUGCCGUUGGAGUUAGUGGUGUUUGGAGAAUUUUGUCAAGAAAUGGACGAUAAUCGGUAUAUUGCAUUGCCAUGAAAUUUAGUGCUUAAUGUACUAACAUUUCUUGGUUGUCGAUCGAAUACUAAUGGCAACGCCAAUGUGAACGCCAUAUCGAUGCGUUGUUUAUUCUCUCUUAUAUAAAAUCAAUUAACUCUACCGUUUAUAAACUUUAUAUUCUAUAAAUAAAUUUCCAAGUAUUUUUUUUCAAUAUAGUUACUAGAAAAACUUUUUCUAUCUUAUACUUACUGGUAAUCGUUGGAAACAAUACAAUAACAGCAGAUAUGUAACGAAUAUUGAUAGAACGUACAUUAGUCAACUACGGAUGAUGACUCUCGGAUUUUUUACCAAAUAUUAUAUUAUAUUCGUAGUAUGAAUAUUAAAUUCGAUUAAAAUUUUAAGCACAGAUAUUGAAACAUUAGUUUUUUUCAGUCAAAUUAUAUACUUUAAUCUAAUAAAAUUUAAUAUACUACAUAACCAAAUAAUAUAGUAUUUGGUUGAAAAUUUUCUUUAAAUAGUAGUGCUUUUCCUAUUAAACAAUGUGGUUUAAUCUAAUGAAGACAAUACAGAUGUAGAAUCAUAUAUUACAUGUUGUUUGACUUAAAAUUAUGUUGUGUGUUGAAUUGAAUAAAUCAAAGUCAAACGAAUAAGAAUCUAAAGAAAUCUAAAGAAAUCUCUCUGGAUCUAAAGAUGUCUCUGGAUCUAAAGAAAUCUUUUCCUCUGUAUAUUUGAUCGAUAACAUAUUGUUUAUUAUGAAUACAAAAACAGUAGUCAUACACAACAAUGUUAUAAUGUUAUGUUAUCUUGCGAACACAUGUUACAUAUAUAACCCGACAAUUGAUGCGGUCAGAUAGAAUAUAUUUAUUUUAAAAUUGUUAUAUCAUAACAGAACAUAUAAUAAGCAUUCUUUUUCACGUAGUUAAAUAUUGUCGGUGAGAAAUAUAGUAAGAAUUAACUCGCGGUAUUUUCGAUCAAAAUACCGAUAAAUUUUUGUAUCCGAUUAGGAAACAUCCGAUGAAAAAUAUCAUAAUUUUUUGAUCGAUUUAUCUGAUAAAAUGUCAUUAUGAUCGAAAGUACCUAAUUAAAUUCAAUCGGAUAUCCUGAUUGGAUAUAAAAAUUGACCGGAAUUUGAUCGGAAAUAUCCGUUUAUUAAUUUUUUAUCGAAUAAUUUUUCUCAUUUUUCUAAUAUUGCGGUACAUUUAUGCUGAUUACGCUUAGCUAUUUUGAAGGGCAAGAAAUAUAACACUUUCCAAAUUC